rnacentral:rRNA from 1 species
AUUGAACGCUGGCGGCAGGCCUAACACAUGCAAGUCGAGCGGAGCGGCGGACGGGUGAGUAAUGCCUAGGAAUCUGCCUGGUAGUGGGGGAUAACGUCCGGAAACGGGCGCUAAUACCGCAUACUAUCAGAUGAGCCUAGGUCGGAUUAGCUAGUUGGUGGGGUAAAGGCCUACCAAGGCGACGAUCCGUAACUGGUCUGCGAGGAUGAUCAGUCAAACUGGAACUGGGACACGGUCCAGACUCCUACGGGGGGCAGCGUUGGGGAAUUUUGGACAAUGGGCGAAAGCCGAAUGCAGCCAUGCCGGGUGUGUGAAGAAGGUCUUCGGAUUGAAAAGCACUGUAAGUUGGGAGGCGUUACCAACAGAAUAAGCACCGGCUAACUCCGUGCCAGCAGCCGCGGUAAUAC